rnacentral:rRNA from 1 species
UACGGGGGGGGCGAAGCGUUGUUCGGAAUUACUGGGCGUAAAGAGCUCGUAGGUGGUUUGUCGCGUUGUUCGUGAAAACUCACAGCUUAACUGUGGGCGUGCGGGCGAUACGGGGCAGACUGGAGUACUGCAGGGGAGACUGGAAUUCCUGGUGUAGCGGUGGAAUGCGCAGAUAUCAGGAGGAACACCGGUGGCGAAGGCGGGUCUCUGGGCAGUGAACUGACGCUGGAGGUGCGAAAGCGUGGGGAGCAAACAGG